rnacentral:rRNA from 1 species
GACGAACGCUGGCGGCGUGCCUAAUACAUGCAAGUCGAACGCAGUGGGGCCGGGUGAGUAACACGUGGGUAACCUCCCAUCAGAGGGGAUAACACUUGGAAACAGGUGCUAAACCGAUACUGAUGGAUGGACCCGCGGUGCAUUAGCUAGUUGGGGGGGUAACGGCUCACCAAGGCCACGAUGCAUAGCCGACCUGAGAGGUUGAUCAGCGACACUGGGACUGAGACACGGCCCAGACUCCAACGGGAGGCAGCAGUAGGGAAUCUUCGGCAAUGGACGAAAGUCUGACCGAGCAAUGCCGCGUGAGUGAAGAAGGUUUUCGGAUAGUAAAACUCUGAUGUUUAGGAGGCGGUAUCUAACCAGAAAGCAACGGCUAACUACGUGCCAGCAGCCGCGGUAAUAC